rnacentral:misc_RNA from 1 species
GUUUUGAGCUCCUUUUUGAUUCAGAGAUUUCCGCAGCAUCUUCAUCCUCCUUCUCUUCACUUACUCCAGCUCCAAAUUCUCUAUAGAAACGUUCAUGCUCCUCUACAUUAGACUUGUAUUUAGGAGGUGUCAAAUCAAUCAGCCGCUUGACUAACCGAAAUGCAACACUUGCUAGGGGGAGAAGGAUCAAAACCUUAGGGCGAGUAAACCCGCGGUCAAGAAAGGCUUCAUUACUUAGGAUAUCCACCUUCACAUUGUCCUGAAGCUUAGCUAGUUUUGCCUCGUUCUUCUUUACAAGAUCCCUAGUUCUAAAGAUAUGAUUGAGAGAAUGCAUAACAUAAGCAUCCAUGGUACUUGAAUCUUCUUCUAGACCUUUGAGGUAGAAGGGUUUCUUGUUGUGGUGCAGAAUAUCCCGGUAGCUGUUGCAUAUGGAGAAAAAUAGUCUCUGCUUUGAUGAAUCAAAAUCUGCCCCUACAGACUUCUCAUAUAUACUCAACCAAUGCUUGUGUAGUGUUGGCUUCAAGCCAUGAAACAAAAAGCUUUCUGGCUCCUUCAGAAAACACUUGCCUGUCCCCCUCCACUUGUAAUUUGACAUGGCUACCACCCAUUUGUAAGUCCAUUUCUUUUUCUCUAGCUCGUCAACCUCUUCUUUGGAUAACUUGUGAUCCAAAUGAGAGUGAAAUGAACUCGUGCUUGCACAAGCCCCUCUUGUGGGUUGACCAUUUACUCUCAAUUCUUGUUCUCCAUCUGAACCAGAAGCCUCUGAAUCAUCGUCAUCAGUUUCAGUACCUCCAAUCCGUGCCACAGGGUUUCCCAGACCACUUCCAUGUUGACUAGCACCAGGUUCACUAAGUCUAGAAGACUCACUAUCACUGCCUUCAUCGUCAUCAUCGGAAACACCAUGAGCUUGCUCACCAUCAUCUCCACUUUCUUCUGAUUCCGAGUUAUAUUCUUCUUGUUUUGUCCUCAAUGACUCCAACAAACUAUCAUACAUAGUUGGCUCCUUAUAAUCCACAACUU